rnacentral:rRNA from 1 species
UACAGAGGUGGCAAGCGUUGUUCGGAAUUACUGGGCGUAAAGGGCGCGUAGGCGGUUCGUCAAGUCCUGUGUGAAAUCCCCCGGCUCAACUGGGGAACUGCACAGGAAACUAGCGGGCUUGAGUUCGGGAGAGGGAAGCGGAAUUCCGGGUGUAGCGGUGAAAUGCGUAGAUAUCCGGAGGAACACCGGUGGCGAAGGCGGCUUCCUGGCGCGAUUCUGACGCUGAGGUGCGAAAGCGUGGGGAGCGAUCCGG